rnacentral:hammerhead_ribozyme from 1 species
AUCCAGCUGACGAGUCCCAAAUAGGAUGAAACGCAAAUCCUGAAU